UAUGUGAUCGUCUCUCGCAUAUCAAUAAGCGGAGGAAAAGAAACUAACAAGGAUUCCCCUAGUAACGGCGAGUGAAGCGGGAAGAGCUCAAAUUUGAAAUCUUAAAGGGUUUCCCUUUACGAAUUGUAGUUUAAAGAAGUGUUUUCUGUUGAGGUUUUGGUAAAAGUUCUUUGGAAUAGGACAUCAUAGAGGGUGAGAAUCCCGUAUUUGACCUUUACUUUCAACUUUGUGAUACACUUUCAAAGAGUCGGAUUGUUUGGGAAUGCAGUCCAAAGUGGGUGGUAAAUUUCAUCUAAAGCUAAAUAUUGGCGAGAGUCCGAUAGCGAACAAGUACCGUGAGGGAAAGAUGAAAAGAACUUUGAAAAGAGAGUUAAACAGUACGUGAAAUUGUCAAAAGGGAAGCGUUUGACACCAGUGUUGUUUUUCUGAAAAUCAAUUAAAGAACUGUUUAUGCUAAGCUGUUUAGACUUUAUCAGCUAUCUGUUUAGUUUUGAGCUUUUCUUUAAUGCACUUUUCAGUUAACAAGUCAACAUCAAUUUCUUUUGCUGUAAAAAAGCUUGAGGAAGGUGGCUUGAGAUUCGUCUUAAGUGUUUAUAGCCUCUUGCCUAUGCAGUCGGAGAGAUUGAGGUCUGCAGCGUAGAUCCUUCGGGGCUAAAUGCAUUUGUGCUAAGUUAUAGCAUUUUAUAGACAACUUGUUGACUAUGAUUUGUCUUGUAGCUUACUCGCUUAUGUUAUUUUACCUACGCUUAGGAUGUUGAGCGCAUGUCUCUCUCU
rnacentral:rRNA from 1 species